rnacentral:rRNA from 1 species
GGGGAAUAUUGCGCAAUGGACGAAAGUCUGACGCAGCGACGCCGCGUGAGGGAAGAAGGUCUUCGGAUCGUAAACCUCUGUCAGGAGGGAAGAACCCCUUAGGUUCGAAUAGGACCUUUGGCUGACGGUACCUCCAGAGGAAGCACCGGCUAACUCCGUGCCAGCAGCCGCGGUAAUACGGAGGGUGCAAGCGUUAAUCGGAAUCACUGGGCGUAAAGCGUGCGUAGGCGGCUUGGCAAGUCAGGCGUGAAAGCCCUCGGCUCAACCGGGGAAUUGCGCUUGAAACUGCCAGGCUUGAGUUCGGGAGAGGGUGGCGGAAUUCCGGGUGUAGGAGUGAAAUCCGUAGAUAUCCGGAGGAACACCAGUGGCGAAGGCGGCCACCUGGACCGAUACUGACGCUGAGGUACGAAAGCGUGGGGAGCAAAC